rnacentral:lncRNA from 1 species
AAAGAGAGCUGUUAGUCGUGAUUACUGACAUUGGAUUCUUAAAAUUACAAUAAUGUCUCUGAGGUAGGUGAUGGGUUUCUUGGAGAGAGAUAAGCGGAAGGAUAUUUUGGACAACUAUUUAUUAAAAAGACGAAAAGCGCAUGAAGAAGUAAACAAAUGAAUUAAGAAGUGCCGCCUUAAAGGGACAGUGUGGUGGCCUGCCGAGCAUCAGCUUCAGACUAGGCCUCAGGAACUGAGAGGGCGGGUUCGAGUCCUGAGUGACGUCGGUCCUCAGGCUAUCCUGGAGGCCCUUAGGUGAGAGCAGCCACCCAGGCCAAGAGCUAUCUCCGCACCAGAGGUGAAAGCAAAGUGGUCCUCCGCGGCCGAGCUCUCCGCCUGAGCCCGGAUGGGAAGCGCGUGGUGAGGAGGAAGGACUCGCCCCGAACCUCGGCUUCUGCCGAAGAAAAUGGCCUCCCGGGGUCGACUUGGCCUCUUCGCUUCCGAUACCGCAAACCUUUCCCUAGCCAGGAUACUCUGGAGAGAUUGGGCCAAUUGAUGCGAAGUCUGUGUUGGGGAGGAACCCAAAAAUCUAUGCGUUCCCGAAAAAAGGGGGUGUCAUCCACAGAGAUGAGGUGUGUGUGUGUGUUGGGGGGAAGGCUUCGAGAAGGAAAGCUGAAGGCCUUCCCUGAAAUGGGUGUGCUUGACCCAGGGCCGUAGGGUACAUUGGGGGUGAAGUGGGGGUUCUACUCCCCCUUAAAAGGGAUUCACAUUCUUUUCCCCUACUAGAAGGACCCGAAAAACUCCCUUUAAUCCCCUUGGCGUAAUUGCCACUUCUCCCUUUGCCUGAGUACCCAGUGAGCCAUUCUUCUUUUUCCUUACAUUCCAGCCAUAAUGGAGUGAGAUUCUACACAUGAAACUAUUUGACCAGCGCAGCCAUGUGAGCGAGGUAGGGCAGGAGUUAGCCGCCAUUUUAGCUAUAGGAAAGCUCUGCGCCUUGGAGAAAUCAAGUGACUUAUCCAAGGUCACCUGACAACGAAGAGGCAGUUGUAACUAGAGCGGGUCUUCCUUGCGUCAUCUAAUACGGUUUUUCUGUCAAAAACACAAAAGCCAAGACCUGGAAAGCCAGCUCAGCAGUUAGUGAACGGGCUGCUCUUCAGAGGGCCUGAGAUUGGCUCCCUGGGACUCACACGAUGGCUCACAAAUGUCUAUAGCUGCAGAUCCAGAGGAGCUGAUAUCCUCCAUUGACAGCAGGCACAUAUGCUGUACACACAUGCAGG